rnacentral:hammerhead_ribozyme from 1 species
AUUCAGCUGACGAGUCUCAAAUAGGAUGAAACGUGUAUCCUGGAU